AGAAAGGCUACUAUGUUUGCAUUUCUCAUUGCUUGGGAUAACUGCUGUGGCCUCAAAAUGGUGAAACUGGCUCGUGUCUCCCUAGAUCUCUACUUGGUCUGGCUUUCGUACUAAGCUUUCAUGAAGAAAAGAUAUGAAGAAUCACCUUGAUAUGACACAUUGAAUGGUUACUACCCUAUAAAAGUACGCGGGCCUCUCACUGCUGUGGCCUCUCCCGUUGCAGAGCACAGGCUCCGGACGCGCAGGCUCAGCAGCCAUGGCUCACGGGCCCAGCCGCUCCAAGGCAUGUGGGAUCUUCCCAGACUGGGGCACGAACCCGUGUCCCCUGCAUCGGCAGGCGGACUCUCAACCACUGCACCACCAGGGAAGCCCUCUAUGCAAUUUUAUUUCAUGCGUAUGUAGCCUUGUGUAUCCUCCAGGAAAAUCAGGAUACUCAUACCGUCACUAAAAUAUUCCCUCAUGUUAUCUUUUAUAUCCACACAUAUCCCUCUACUCUAUCCCCUGGAAACCACUAAUAAAUCCUCCAUUUACAUUAUGCCAUUUUACAAUGCUACAUAAGUGGAAUGAUAUAAUAUGUACCCUUUUGAGAUUGGCUUUAUUCAUUCAGCAUAAUUUCCUUGAGAUUCAUCCAAGUUGUUGGCAUAUCAAUAGCUCAUUCCCUUUGAUUGCUGAGUAGUAGUCCAUGGUAUGGAUGUACCACAGUUUGUUUAACCGUUCACUAAUUGAAGGACAGAUGAGUAGCUUCCAGCUUUGGGCUGCUACAAAUAAAGCUGCUAUGAACA